rnacentral:rRNA from 1 species
GACGAACGCUGGCGGCGUGCUUAACACAUGCAAGUCGAACGGAAAGGCCUGCUUUCCCUUGUGGAUUGCGGGUACUCGAGUGGCGAACGGGUGAGUAACACGUGAGUGAUCUGCCCCCAACUUGGGUAUAAGCCUGGGAAACUGGGUCUAAUUCCCGAUAGGACUGCAGGGUGGUGCCUGUGGUGGAAAACGAUUUUCUAGUGGUUGGGGAUGAGCUCGCGGCCUAUCAGCUUGUUGGUGGGGUAAUGGCCUACCAAGGCGGCGACGGGUAGCCGGCCUGAGAGGGUGGACGGCCACAUUGGGACUGAGAUACGGCCCAGACUCCUACGGGAGGCAGCAGUGGGGAAUAGUGCACAAUGGGCGGAAGCCUGAUGCAGCGACGCUGCGUGGGGGAUGACGGCCUUCGGGUUGUAAACUCCUUUCGACCGCGAGGAAGCCACCUGGUUGGAAGGGUGGUGACGGUAGUGGUAGAAGAAGCACCGGCUAACUACGUG